AACGAACGCUGGCGGCAUGCCUAACACAUGCAAGUCGAACGAGACCUUCGGGUCUAGUGGCGCACGGGUGCGUAACGCGUGGGAACCUGCCCUUAGGUUCGGAAUAACUCCCCGAAAGGGGUGCUAAUACCGGAUAAUGUCUUCGGACCAAAGAUUUAUCGCCUUGGGAUGGGCCCGCGUUGGAUUAGCUAGUUGGUAGGGUAAAAGCCUACCAAGGCGACGAUCCAUAGCUGGUCUGAGAGGAUGAUCAGCCACACUGGGACUGAGACACGGCCCAGACUCCUACGGGAGGCAGCAGUGGGGAAUAUUGGACAAUGGGCGAAAGCCUGAUCCAGCAAUGCCGCGUGAGUGAUGAAGGCAUUAGGGUUGUAAAGCUCUUUUACACGGGAUGAUAAUGACAGUACCGGGAGAAUAAGCUCCGGCUAACUCCGUG
rnacentral:rRNA from 1 species